AUUGAACGCUGGCGGCAUGCUUUACACAUGCAAGUCGAACGGUAACAGCACUUCGGUGGCUGACGAGUGGCGAACGGGUGAGUAAUACAUCGGAACGUGCCUAGUAGUGUGGGAUAACUACUCGAAAGAGUAGCUAAUACCGCAUGAGAUCUAAGGAUGACAGCAGGGGACCUUCGGGCCUUGCGCUACUAGAGCGGCUGAUGGCAGAUUAGGUAGUUGGUGGGAUAAAAGCUUACCAAGCCGACGAUCUGUAGCUGGUCUGGGAGGACGACCAGCCACACUGGGACUGAGACACGGCCCAGACUCCUACGGGAGGCAGCAGUGGGGAAUUUUGGACAAUGGGCGCAAGCCUGAUCCAGCAAUGCCGCGUGCAGGAUGAAGGCCUUCGGGUUGUAAACUGCUUUUGUACGGAACGAAAAGCCCUCUUCUAAUACAGGAGGGUCAUGACGGUACCGUAAGAAUAAGCACCGGCUAACUACGUG
rnacentral:rRNA from 1 species